rnacentral:rRNA from 1 species
UACAGAGGUCUCAAGCGUUGUUCGGAUUCAUUGGGCGUAAAGGGUGCGUAGGUGGCGCCGUAAGUCGGGUGUGAAAUUCGAUGGCUUAACUCCGAAACUGCAUUCGAUACUGCGUGCUUGAGGACUGGAGAGGAGACUGGAAUUUCAUGGUGUAGCAGGUGAAAUGCGUAGAGAUCAUGAGGAAGACCAGUGGCGAAGGCGGGUCUCUGGACAGUUCCUGACGCUGAGGCACGAAGGCCAGGGGAGCAAAACGGG